GUCAAUCCCAAAUUUAUUAGGCUAUUUCAUGUCAAACAUCUCAUCCUUACACUAAGGAAUAACUAUGCUAAAGAGAACAAAUAAAGUAAAAGAAGAUAAAUAAAUAAAAGAAAAGACUACCUAAAUUGAUUUUUCCUUUUUGUUUUUCUUUUCUUGCUUUCUUCACCCACGGCUGGGCAGCUUCUGUGGAUCACCAGGGAGACUUAGCUCACGGCUGGGAUGGCCGCUGCUGUUGCAACGGGCGACCGUGGGCGGUGGACACGGUCGUCGGAGGAACUCCGGCAAAGGGGCAGCGAACACGCGGCGAGGGAGGAGCCGGAGUCGAGUGCGGUUGGGGCGGGCAGCGAACUGCUGUGAUGCCGGGUCAGCGAACUCAGGACAGCGGGGGCGUCGUGGCUGGUGGUCUUUGGCGGACUGAGAGGCAGCGACGCGGGCAGCAGCAGGUGUGCCGUGAUGAAGGAGCGCGACUUGGCUUGGUCUGGACAACGAAAUCAGCAGCUCGUCUUCCUCAACCCAAGGAGCGGCAACUGGAUCGGCAGAGAUCAGCAAAUGUACAGAGACUUGGGGCAAUAGCAACGUCUUCACCGGAACAUGGAAAGCAACCAAGUUGGUCGCAGCUCGCUUGCUGCCCAGGGAGUGGAGCGACGGCUCUAUGGUGCAGCGGCGGGUGAGUCGGAGACGUGGGUUGUUGCAGGAGGACCAGCAACAGGUCGA
rnacentral:lncRNA from 1 species